GACGAACGCUGGCGGCGUGCUUAACACAUGCAAGUCGAACGGAAAGGCCCCUUUGGGGGUACUCGAGUGGCGAACGGGUGAGUAACACGUGAGUAACCUGCCCUUGACUUCGGGAUAACUUCAGGAAACUGGGGCUAAUACCGGAUAGGAAUCCUUGCUGCAUGGUGGGGGUUGGAAAGCUUCGGCGGUUUUUGAUGGACUCGCGGCUUAUCAGCUUGUUGGUGGGGUAGUGGCUUACCAAGGCUUUGACGGGUAGCCGGCCUGAGAGGGCGACCGGCCACAUUGGGACUGAGAUACGGCCCAGACUCCUACGGGAGGAAGCAGUGGGGAAUAUUGCACAAUGGGCGGAAGCCUGAUGCAGCAACGCCGCGUGCGGGAUGACGGCCUUCGGGUUGUAAACCGCUUUCAGCAGGGGCGAAGCUUGUGGUGACGGUACCUGCAGAAGAAGCACCGGCUAACUACGUG
rnacentral:rRNA from 1 species